rnacentral:rRNA from 1 species
GAUGAACGCUAGCGGGAGGCCUAACACAUGCAAGCCGAGCGGUAGAGUCUCUUCGGAGACUUGAGAGCGGCGCACGGGUGCGGAACACGUGUGCAACCUGCCUUUAUCUGGGGGAUAGCCUUUCGAAGGGAAGAUUAAUACCCCAUAAUAUACUGGACGGCAUCAUCUGGUAUUGAAAACUCCGGUGGAUAGAGAUGGGCACGCGCAAGAUUAGAUAGUUGGUGAGGUAACGGCUCACCAAGUCAGCGAUCUUUAGGGGGCCUGAGAGGGUGAUCCCCCACACUGGUACUGAGACACGGACCAGACUCCUACGGGAGGCAGCAGUGAGGAAUAUUGGACAAUGGGUGAGAGCCUGAUCCAGCCAUCCCGCGUGAAGGACGACGGCCCUAUGGGUUGUAAACUUCUUUUGUAUAGGGAUAAACCUAGAUACGUGUAUCUAGCUGAAGGUACUAUACGAAUAAGCACCGGCUAACUCCGUG